UGCAACGCGGUCGGGAAAGCAGCCGGGGCGCGGAGAGGGAGGAGCGCCUCGGGAGCACCAGGUCCGGCCUGGGCGCCUCCCGGCCAAGCCCCCGAGGACAGCGGGCUCUCUCUCUCUCGUUCUCUCCGUCUAUCUGCUUAUAGGUGGCCGGCUGUCUCUCUCUAACAACCUUUCUGUCUUUAUUUCUCUGUCUGUCUUUUGGUGUUUUUGCAGGUGUAGUCCCUGAUCCCUUUGCGUAGUGCGAGCAUGUACGAAUUGAAGAAGGAUGAUCAACUUAACAUAUCCAUAAACACUGAAAAGCAACUGGCUAAGAAUACAUUGGAAAAUAUUAUUUCUUCUGCUUUUAUCCUGCAAUGAGUUACUUCUCCAAGAGAAGAAGAGAUGUCACAAAAUGCCCAUGCCAAUUGUCAUGUCAUCCUAUAUAUCCUCUUCGAAUACACAGAUAGAUGUUCUCCACAGUUGCAAGGAUUCUGAAGAAUGAUGUAUUUUUGUGAUUAAUAUUUCUAUUGCCUGCCUGCCUGCUUGCCACCCUCUGCAACACAAAUGGACAAUGCCAGAUCAUUUUAGUGCUGGUGGCUAUACUUUGGAGUGCCAGAAGAUGGAGUAUGAUCACAUACAAGCUUAAGGAGAAGUUUUACAGUACUUAAAUGCUGAAAAAAUACACUUGAUUGAUGCUAAUUGUCUUCAUCCUUGGGACUCAUGCAAUCAUACAAACAGAAUAUUUUCCUUGA